AACACCAUUCAGUUUCCCUAUUUGGUGUAGCUAGGAUAUUUUCAGUUUUAUUUUAUUUUUAUUCACAGGGGGUUUAACGACAUGGAGCUGACCUUCGUCAUAGCCUUGUUGUUAUCCAUGCUGGUUCAUCAUGAGAUGACAGGGAUUGAAGAACACAGGCCAAGGUAUAAACAAUAAAUAUAAACAUCCACAAGACACAUGUGUAGACAUGGUAAUAAAUAAAUAAUUUAAAUGAAAAAAAAAUAAAUAAAUAUCAUAUCUGUUAAGUGUACAGUAUAUGUUAAGGGAUGCAUGGCAUCCAUUUGGUAACAGUAAAAUAAACAAUGGCAAAUGCAUUGUGGUCAUCAUCUGUCUUGAGAAAAGAGAACGCUAAUGACCCUGCUAAAGCACAGUCUGGUAGACAUCACAUUAUGCUAAUUUCUUGUUGUUGAUAACCUGAAUGGGGAAAACCCUGUCAGGCCAAAUAACUAUGGUGCAACUAAAUCAAUAUAUAAAUGCUAAAAUGUCAAGCAAGAUGAAUUAAGAACUGGCCUUUAGUUUGGUAUGUAGCUAAAUCCAACUAUCAUUUCACAUAGUUUAGACCUACAUCAUGCUUACCUAUGUUUAUGAUAAUAUGUUAUCACAAAUGUUAAUGAUACAUAUGUUUAUGAUAAUUUUUUUUUUCUUUUGUAACAUGUAAUUUGUACAUUGAUAUUUGAUGUACCAGCAUAAAAUAAAUAGGAAAAAACUAUUGCAUUGAACUAUUGGGCUACACAGUCCCUAUCUUUACAUAUUUUAUUGACUUUAUCUUUUAUCAACUUCAUCAAAAAACUGGCCCCGUGGAACAUGAACCCUUUAAUACCUCUUACUUUAUUUAUGGUAUUAAAAAGGAUUAAAAAUGUAAGCUAGAAAAAUAGUUCAUAUCAUUCAUGUAAAAAUCCUGAGAAAUGAAAAACCUACUGCAAAUACAAUCAACCUUCAGCGCUUCCAGCUGAAAGGGGAAUACUAACUGGCCUGCGUGUUUUCUGUUGGGCUAAACUUUUAAUAAUACUCCACAUAUGUUUGUGCAAUUACAUUGUAAUUACCACAAUAAUGUGCUGUUAAUAAUGAAUGAUCCAAAUGUUGCUAAUCUGGCUGAAAUAUUACAUGCCAGACUGAAGGCCAGGAAAAUGGGCACUGACAUCCAGGAUCAACAAAUGAGUCUGACAAAUGAAACAGGGUUUCGCGCUGUAUCCAAGUCUGAUGAAACUCCUGGUAAGCAAAUGCUCGUCGAGUUAUAACAUGUAGUUUUUGUUUAUAGAGCCAUUCAAACCAAAGUUGCUGUUCUUCCAUCCUCAAACUCUCUCCAUAUUGAGCCCAAAGAGUCUCUCAUCAUCUCUUGGUCUUGGAAUUGGUCGAAUCGUAUUCUAACGUCAUUCAAGCUUUCUGUCGAGGUUUGGUGUGAUGAAACUUUGUAUACAUAGGCUCUUGUUGUGUAUCACUCACAGCCAAACCAAAUUCCCUCACAGCGCUUCACCAUGGCCAACUCGCCCGACCUCGUUCUGUAGCCAUGGCCCAGGAGGCUUCCCGAUUCCUCCUUUCCUCUCUUUGCACCGUUUCUGCAGGUCAGGCUCUCCCUCCCCUCAUUCAGCUUGCCUCAUCCCACGCACUCACAGUCUGCUGCAGAGAGGGACUUGAUGGUUCUCCAGGUUGUGGUAGCAUCCAUGAAAGAGACGGGUUCAUAGCCCGUGGGCCGGCAGCAGGGGUGUGCGCUAACCUUCCUGGCGGUGCGCUUGGGCAGACUACCGUUGGCCAGAAGAGCGCGCAGAGCCAAGUCAUAGUUCCCACGAGACCUCUGGCAGGACCCGACACAGAACUUGAAAAGGACAAUCUCGUCUGAGUCGAAGCCCAUGCCCAGGUCCCGUACACGCAUUUCACGUUUCUCUACACGACAGUCCCGGCUGCUAUGCUGACCCCUGCUGCUCUUCUCUUUCUUUUUCUUUUCUUCCUUCUCUUUUUUCUUCUUUUUCUUGCGUGCACCUUUGGUCUGUAUGUCAGAAGUGUCCGGUGAGCGGGGGGAACGUUCCCAUAUUGCUGGCUGUUGGUCAUCCUCGACAAGCACAGAUGGCUC